CACAUAUAAUGCCUCUAAGUUGCUAAGAGUUAUAUGUCAUGAUGAGUUCGCAUAAAAGUCACUUGGCGUUACUUAGAUAUGUUUACUGUUAUAGCAUGUUUGCUGAUUACUUAUAAUCUAUGUUUUGCAGUGGAGGUGUGGCCUGAAGGUUGAAUAUAAUCAAUAUUAUGUGUGGUUUUAGAUAAAGAAUAUAAUCAGUAUUAUGUGUGGUUUUGGAUAAAGAAAUGUAACAUGUAUAAAUAGGUCUGAAAAUGUUAAAAAGGCAUGCACGAUUUUGGUGGGACUACCCCUGUGCCACCCAGCGCUGAAUAAACAUACCUACUUUACAAUCUAAUCAUUGUGAAGUCUGUUUUCUUCACAUCAGUUUUGGCAAGCCAGCCAGGAGGACUCUCUGCUCGACUGCAAAACCGGCUGUGGAACAGACGCUCUUGAGUGCGCCCUGAGCAACUUCCUCGGUGGAGCCUCUGCUGCUGGCCAAUUACUGUGGGAACAGACAAAGAUCUCCUGAAACUGCGGAAUAAAACGGAAAAUCCUAAGAGUGGAAUAAAGACACAGCUCACUUGGAUGAUGUUGCCGCAAGGAUUCAAGAACAGUCCCACUAUUUUUGGCAAUCAACUUGCAAAGGACUUAAAAUCCUGGGAAACCCCAACCAAAGAGGGAAAAUUGUCGCAGUAUGUGGACGAUAUCCUAAUCGCUACCAAGACAGAAGAAGAAUGUAUGAUGUGGACAGUGAAUUUACUAAAUUUCUUGGGACUCCAGGGGUAUCAGGUAUCUAAGAAGAAAGCACAGAUAAUACAGUACAAAGUAAAUUAUUUGGGAUAUGAAAUUAGUGCAGGACAACGAACUUUGGGGCAAGCCCGUAAAGAAGCAAUUUGCCAGAUUCGGAAACCACAGACAGUAAAAGAAUUGAGAACCCUUCUGGGAAUGAUGGGGUGGUGCAGGUUGUGGAUCUAUAACUAUGGAUUACUCGUUAAACGACUGUAUGCCCUAACUGCCACUGAGCAGAAACAUCUUGAAUGGAACAAGGAAACUGAACGAGCCUUUGAAUCACUGAAAAAGGCAUUGAUGUCAGCUCCGGCUUUGGGACUCCCAGAUGUAAGCUGUUUCUUCUUUUCUCUUAUGAGAAGCAGGGCAUUCCCCUAGGAAUAUUAGCACAAAAUCUAGGCCCAUACCGAUGAGCAGUUGCUUAUCUUUCUAAACAGUUAGAUACAACUGCCAAAGGUUGGCCUGGAUGCCUGCAGGCAGUUGCAGCAGCGAUAUUAAACAUCCAGGAAGCCCGAAAUUUUACUCUAGGGCAAAAGAUUUGGUUUCGCAUACAGUAUCAGCAGUAUUGAAGGCAAAAGGUGGACAUUGGCUUUUUCCGCAAAGAUUCUUGAGAUAUCAAGCUACAUUAGUAGAACAGGAUGAUGUGGAAAUUGUGGUCACUAAUAUUGUCAACCCAGACUCUUUUCUCAGCGGAAAUAUAGGAGAACCGGUACACCACAACUGCCUAGAAACCAUUGAAGCAACAUAUGCAAGCCAUCCAGAUCUGAAGGACAGCCCUAUUGAAAAGGAGGAAAACUGGUUCACAGACAGAAGCAGCUAUGUGCUAAACGGUAACCGACACACGGGAUACGCUGUCACUACCAGUGAAGAGGUAAUAGAAUUGUGAGCUUUGCCUACGAACACUUCUGUUGAUGCAGAAGGCUUGGACACAACUUAUACGACCAAUGUGAUCAGGUUCCGCCUGCCUCUGACCUCCAGCUCCCUAAUCAGACAACUUCCCUUCAGGUCCGAUGCACAGAGACUUCUGCAUUUAAGUGAACCGCAUUUAAGCAACUUAAUGGGUCCCUGUUUGGACGCCAGUUGGAUUUGGAAAAAGGGAAUGAGUUGGCCGACAGAGAGGCAAAACAAGUGGCCAAAAUAAAGUCUCUUACAGAAAAGACUUUGUAACCACAGUGGGAAGGACCGUUUCAAGUACUUCUGACCACCUUUACUGCCAUCAAGAUCAAGGAACAACACUCUUGGAUCCACCACACGGGUGAAGAAAGCACCAAGUAAACGGACAAGUGAAUCAGAUGGAAAAUUGAAGAUACGAAUAAGAGGACAACAAUUAUGAAAAAUAUUGGAAUAAUUGUAGAAAGUAUGUGCUUGGUAUUGGUGGAUGCAUGGCUUGAGGUCUGGACCCCUCAUAUAAAAUACAAGGUUGAGGAAGGGCAAACAGUUGCACUAAUGAAAUGUUCUCAACUAUGCUUAAAGAGAAGAAAAGCCCUUAGAAAAGGGCAUGAGAAAAAGAAAAGGGGGGAGUUGAGCCAAGGCAUCCUAGCCUGAUAAGCAAGCACAUACUUAAUCAAUACUGCACAUAUAAUGCCUCUAAGUUGCUAAGAGUUAUAUGUCAUGAUGAGUUCGCAUAAAAGUCACUUGGCGUUACUUAGAUAUGUUUACUGUUAUAGCAUGUUUGCUGAUUAUAAUCUAUGUUUUGCAGUGGAGGUGUGGCCUGAAGGUUGAAUAUAAUCAAUAUUAUGUGUGGUUUUAGAUAAAGGAUAUAAUCAGUAUUAUGUGUGGUUUUGGAUAAAGAAAUGUAACAUGUAUAAAUAGGUCUGAAAAUGUUAAAAAGGCAUGCACGAUUUUGGUGGGACUACCCCUGUGCCACCCAGCGCUGAAUAAACAUACCUACUUUACAAUCUAA